AUGCCAAUCGACUGACUAUUGAGAGAAACAAUAAUAACUUGUCCAUGGUGCAAAAGGUUUCAUUGUUGGAAACAAUACCUCUUGCAACCAAAAAAAGCAAAUGGAGAAGAGGGUCAUCCAACACUGACUUGGUACUAGACCAAGUCAAUUCCUAUUUACAUUUGUAAGUUUUAAAACUUGACCCUCUCAAUGAAAAAGGGGAGGUAAUUAACUCUAUUGUAUGGAAUGAAGGAAUCAUCAGGGUAGAUUUGUUUUUUGUUCUAACAGUUGUUUGAGUAGCCGUAUGUGCUCGUCAACUGUUUAUUUCAAACAAGGAAAAAAUUACCUUUAUGGUUCAUUUGAAAUGGUAAUGGACAUUUGGUAUUCAAUUAUUAAUUUCUCUAAUAUGUGUUAUAGGAGUUAGUAAUCCUCUUCUUAAGAUAUUACUUGGAUAAAAUCGAAACUUAUUGCAUCAAGGUCCUGAUAAUAUCAAGCAGGAAAGCUCAUGGGUUGUGACAUCCCAAGUGCUAAUUGAGGCAAAUGGGUAUCAGAUAUAGAUUCAAAAUAAUGAGUGCAUGAUAAAAUUUAUGCAUCAGAAUCAUGACCAU
rnacentral:lncRNA from 1 species